ACUGGCGGACGGGUGAGUAACGCGUAGGUAAUCUGCCCCUUUCACUGACAAAACGUUGAGAAAUCGGCGCUAAUAUCAGAUAUGCACUUCGGUUUGAAAGACUUCGGUUGGGAAGGGAUGAGCCUGCGUCUGAUUAGCUAGUUGGCGGAGUAAAAGCCCACCAAGGCGACGAUCAGUAGCUGGUCUGAGAGGAUGGUCAGCCACACUGGAACUGAGACACGGUCCAGACUCCUACGGGAGGCAGCAGUGAGGAAUCUUGGUCAAUGGGGGAAACCCUGAACCAGCGACGCCGCGUGUAGGAUGACGGGGCUUUGCCCUGUAAACUACUGUCAGGAGGGAAGAAAAGCGUCCACAGGGCGCCGGGACAGUACCUCCAGAGGAAGGACCGGCUAACUACGUGCCAGCAGCCGCGGUAAUACGUAGGGUCCAAGCGUUGUCCGGAAUUACUGGGUGUAAAGGGUGUGCAGGCGGGCCUGUGCGUCAGGGGUUAAAUACUUCGGCUUAACCGAAGAACAGCCCUUGAUACGGCAGGUCUUGAGUACGAGAGAGGAUAGUAGAAUUCCUGGUGUAGCGGUGAAAUGCGUAGAUAUCAGGAGGAAUACCAGUGGCGAAGGCGGCUAUCUGGCUCGUUACUGACGCUCAGGCACGAAAGCGUGGGGAGCAAACAGGAUUAGAUACCCU
rnacentral:rRNA from 1 species